GACGAACGCUGGCGGCGUGCUUAACACAUGCAAGUCGAACGAAGAGCGAUGGAAGCUUGCUUCUCUCAAUCUUAGUGGCGAACGGGUGAGUAACGCGUAAUCAACCUGCCCUUCAGAGGGGGACAACAGUUGGAAACGACUGCUAAUACCGCAUACGAUCUAAUCUCGGCAUCGAGGAUAGAUGAAAGGUGGCCUCUACAUGUAAGCUCUCACUGAAGGAGGGGAUUGCGUCUGAUUAGCUAGUUGGAGGGGUAACGGCCCACCAAGGCGAUGAUCAGUAGCCGGUCUGAGAGGAUGAGAGGCAACAGUGGGACUGAGACACGGCCCAGAAUACUACGGGAGGCAGAAGUGGGGAAUCUUCCGCAAUGGACGAAAGUCUGACGGAGCAACGCCGCGUGAGUGAUGACGGCCUUCGGGUUGUAAAGCUCUGUUAAUCGGGACGAAAGGCCUUCUUGCGAAUAGUGAGAAGGAUUGACGGUACCGGAAUAGAAAGCCACGGCUAACUACGUG
rnacentral:rRNA from 1 species